AAGAGUGAACUAGCUAACUGAAAUCACAAUAAUCUGUGAUAACGUAAGGGAAAAAACUGAUGUUACCUUACUAUUAAGUGUUGUCCAAAACUGGUGCCAGAAGACUCGGUAAGACCUGAAACGCAAACGUUAAUCGUCCUAAUCAGGCGUAAAGGGUUCGUAGGCUGCUUUUAAAAAUCAUUUUAUUUAAAAAAGCUCUGAUUUUAUCAGUUAAAUAAAAUAAUAAUAAUAAAAGCUAGAAUCAAAUUUAGGAUAAAAAAAUGCUUAGAGAUAGGGAUGGUAUCCAUAGAUACUAAGUGGAAUACUAAAGGUGAAAGCUUUUAUCUACUAAUGAUUGACGCUGAGGAACGAAGGUGAGAAUAGGAAAUAGGAUUAGAUACCCAGAUACCUCUCACUGUCAACGAUGAAUGGUAGUUUGUCAGUUUUAGAAAAAAUUGGUAACGAUGUUAACGCGAUAACCAUUCCGCCUUGCGAGUACGGUUGCAAAACUGAAACCAAAAAAAUUAGUCGAUCUCGAAGCAAACGAAGUGGAGCAUGUUAUUUAAUU
rnacentral:rRNA from 1 species